GGGGGCGAAAUAGGAUCGACAAGGGCGUAAAGAUCGACUUUUUGCUCGGCAUUGUACCACCGUUAUCGGGCUAAACUUAUAGUUGCAAACGACAACUAUGCUGAAGCACGUCUCGCUGCCUAACGGCGGUGCGACACUUCAAAUCAAGUCCUUCCGGGUAGCACCGUAAGGCGGGGUCCGAAGGCACCUGGCAACAGAAGCCUUCACCUUCU
rnacentral:tmRNA from 1 species